UACGUAGGGGGCAAGCGUUGUCCGGAAUCAUUGGGCGUAAAGCGCGCGUAGGCGGCCCGGUAAGUCCGUUGUGAAAGUCAAAGGCUCAACCUUUGAACGCCGAUGGAUACUGCCGGGCUAGAGUCCGGAAGAGGCGAGUGGAAUUCCCGGUGUAGCGGUGAAAUGCGCAGAUAUCGGGAGGAACACCAAUGGCGAAGGCAGCUCGCUGGGACGUUACUGACGCUGAGACGCGAAAGCGUGGGGAGCAAACAGG
rnacentral:rRNA from 1 species